GAUGAACGCUGACAGAAUGCUUAACACAUGCAAGUCUUUGGCGAAGCUGUGCUUGCACCGCCUAGCCAAGGCGGACGGGUGAGUAACGCGUAAGGAACUUGCCCUGCAGUCAGGGAUAACAGACGGAAACGACUGAUAAGACCUGGUAAAGUCAGGCGGACUCAUGUCCAGCCUGAUGAAAAGAGAUGCUGCAGGAGAGCCUUGCGUCCUAUUAGCUUGUUGGUGGGGUAACGGCCCACCAAGGCGAUGAUAGGUAGCCGGCCUGAGAGGGUGGACGGCCACAAGGGGACUGAGAUACGGCCCUUACUCCUACGGGAGGCAGCAGUGGGGAAUAUUGGACAAUGGGGGCAACCCUGAUCCAGCAAUUCUGUGUGAACGAUGAAGGUUUUCGGAUUGUAAAGUGCUUUCAGAAGGGAAGAAAAAAAUGACGGUACCUGCAGAAGAAGCGACGGCUAAAUACGUG
rnacentral:rRNA from 1 species